CUGCAGUGAUGGGAAUAUUUUUCGUCAACAGCAUUUCACAUAGUGAAUGGUGACAACCUGUUUUCUGAGCAA
rfam:Pelodiscus sinensis unplaced genomic scaffold scaffold1820, whole genome shotgun sequence.